GGCCUCCUGGUGCUUACCACAGGCUGUUAUUACACUGUGUAGAAAAAGGAGGUAGAGCAAAUCUACCCUAUUUACACCUCAGUCCGGGCCCUAUGCCUGGUCUGUAUUGUGAAUGGCGGGGGUGGG
rnacentral:snoRNA from 1 species